rnacentral:lncRNA from 10 species
CAUUUAGUCUCCUCAGCAACAAAUAAGAGAAAUAUUAUCUCCAUUUUACAGAAGCACAGACUGCAGAGAUUGAGUUCCCCCAGGAGCACACAAGCUGUACUGUACCUAAGGUCCUAAAACAUAUUGGUGAUAUGGAAGGUAGACAAAAUGGCCAAAUAGAAGCCUUCACCCAUUGUUCUCCCUGCAGAAACACUAAAUUGAACAACUAUCCACACAUAAAUCACCUUCAUAUGAAGCAAAAAUCAGCCACAUUAAACAAUGAUGAGUUCAAAUGGAAACAUACAGCCUUUCAACACUGGCUCCAAGAGAUGGCAUCUAGAAGAAACAGACUGAUUCUGCAGAGUUCUGAAGGGAGCAGGUGACUUAGCAAUUCUGUCUUCAGUUUCUCUGUGAACAUCAUCAAUGUUUUCCUGUGCUCCAGUUGUCAAACUUCAUCAGCGAAAUGUUGGGGUCAUUUAAAGCUGCUGCUUUGCAUUCACUGAAACGACUAACAACCACAAGGAAACAUGCAGAGUAGCUCCAGCCUGAAAGGAAGGAGUGGCGAC